UUAAAUUGAAGAGUUUGAUCAUGGCUCAGAUUGAACGCUGGCGGCAGGCCUAACACAUGCAAGUCGAGCGGAAACGAGUUAUCUGAACCUUCGGGGAAGGAUAACGGCGUCGAGCGGCGGACGGGUGAGUAAUGCCUAGGAAAUUGCCCUGAUGUGGGGGAUAACCAUUGGAAACGAUGGCUAAUACCG
rnacentral:rRNA from 1 species